rnacentral:rRNA from 1 species
UACGAAGGGGGCUAGCGUUGUUCGGAAUUACUGGGCGUAAAGGGCGCGUAGGCGGUGUGUCAAGUCAGGCGUGAAAGCCCCGGGCUCAACCUGGGAACAGCGCUUGAGACUGGCACGCUCGAGUUCGGGAGAGGAUGGUGGAAUUCCCAGUGUAGAUGUGAAAUUCGUAGAUAUUGGGAAGAACACCGAUGGCGAAGGCAGCCAUCUGGACCGACACUGACGCUGAGGCGCGAAAGCGUGGGGAGCAAACAGG